AUUGAACGCUGGCGGCAUGCCUUACACAUGCAAGUCGAACGGCAGCGGACCUUCGGGUGCCGGCGAGUGGCGAACGGGUGAGUAAUAUAUCGGAACGUACCUUUCAGUGGGGGAUAACGUAGCGAAAGUUACGCUAAUACCGCAUAUUCUGUGAGCAGGAAAGCAGGGGAUCGCAAGACCUUGCGCUGGUUGAGCGGCCGAUAUCAGAUUAGCUAGUUGGUGAGGUAAAGGCUCACCAAGGCGACGAUCUGUAGCGGGUCUGAGAGGAUGAUCCGCCACACUGGAACUGAGACACGGUCCAGACUCCUACGGGAGGCAGCAGUGGGGAAUUUUGGACAAUGGGCGCAAGCCUGAUCCAGCAAUGCCGCGUGCAGGAUGAAGGCCUCGGUUGUAACUAGCUUUGUACGGUAACGAACGGUUACGUCUCUAAUACAGGGGCGUAAUGACGGUACCGUAAGAAUAAGACACCGGCUAACUACGUGCC
rnacentral:rRNA from 1 species